rnacentral:rRNA from 1 species
UCCACGCUGUAAACGAUGAGUGCUAAAUGUGAGGAUUUUAUCUUUGUAUUGUAGCUAACGCGUUAAGCACUCCGCCUGGGGACUACGGUCGCAAGACUAAAACUCAAAGGAAUUGACGGGGACCCGCACAAGCGGUGGAGCAUGUGGUUUAAUUCGAUGCUACGCGAAAAACCUUACCACUUUUUGACAUGAAGGUCGUAUCCCUUUUAACAGAGGGAGUCAGUUCGGCUGGACCUUACACAGGUGCUGCAUGGUUGUCGUCAGCUCGUGUCGUGAGAUGUUGGGUUAAGUCCCGCAACGAGCGCAACCCUCAUCCUUAGUUACCAACAGGUAAUGCUGGGCACUCUAAGGAAACUGCCAGUGAUAAACUGGAGGAAGGUGGGGAUGAUGUCAAAUCAGCACGGCCCUUAUAAGGUGGGCUACACACGUGCUACAAUGGCAACUACAAUAGGUCGCGAGACCGCAAGGUUUAGCUAAUCCAUAAAAGUUGUCUCAGUUCGGAUUGUUCUCUGCAACUCGAGAGCAUGAAGUCGGAAUCGCUAGUAAUCGUGGAUCAUCACGCCACGGUGAAUACGUYCUCGGGUCUUGUACACACUGCCCGUCACGCCAUGGGAAUUGGCUUAACUCGAAGCUGGUGUGCUAACCGAAAGGAAGCAGCCAUUUAAGGUUGGGUCAGUGACUAGGGUGAAGUCGUAACAAGU